GACAGAGGCCUCGAGCGUUAGGCGGAAUCACUGGGCUUAAAGCGUGUGUAGGCGGAUCGUUAAGUGCCUUGUGAAAUCCCACGGCUCAACCGUGGAACUGCUUGGCAUACUGGCGGUCUUGAGCCAUCUAGGGGUCGCUGGAACAAACGGUGGAGCGGUGAAAUGCGUAGAUAUCGUUUGGAACGCCAAUGGUGAAAACAGGCGACUGGGGAUGUGCUGACGCUGAGACACGAAAGCCAGGGGAGCAAACGGG
rnacentral:rRNA from 1 species